GACGAACGCUCGCGGCGUGCUUAACACAUGCAAGUCGAACGGUAAGGCCCUUCGGGGUACACGAGUGGCGAACGGGUGAGUAACACGUGGGUCAACUGCCCUGCACUUCGGGAUAAGCAUGGGAAACUGGGCCUAAUACCGGAUAGGACCACUGCCUGCAUGGGUGGUGCUGGAACGCUUUUGCGGUGUGGGAGGGGCACCGGGCCAAUCCGCUUGUUGGUGGGGGGAGGGCCUACCAAGGCGACGACGGGUAGCCGGCGGGGGAGGGUGACCGGCCACACUGGGACUUAGAUACGGCCCAGGCUCCUACGGGGGGCAGCGGUGGGGAAUAUUGCACAAUGGGCGCAAGCCUGAUGCAGCGACGCCGCGUGAGGGAUGACGGCCUUCGGGUUGUAAACCUCUUUCAGCACCGACGAAGCGCAAGUGACGGUAGGUGCAGAAGAAGGACCGGCCAACUACGUGCCAGCCGCCGCCGUAA
rnacentral:rRNA from 1 species